rnacentral:lncRNA from 1 species
CUGGCCAAGGUUUUGCUAAAUUGAAAUACAGCGACUCAUUCUUCUCCAACUCUUGGAGUGGUCAAUCCCAUCUUGAUCACACUCUGACUUCGCAAGUACUUGACUGUGCCCAGAACCCUUCUAUCACUGAAUUAAAAAUUCAGUUAGUCCAGUACCAAAGCACAGUGAGUUGCUUGCAAGUCACUGAGGCGAUCUCAAGUCUAAGGGACACUUAUACCUAUAUCCCAUC